UUGGAGGGCAAGUCUGGUGCCAGCAGCCGCGGUAUUUCCAGCUCCAAUAGCGUAUAUUAAAGUUGUUGCCGUUAAAAAGCUCGUAGUUGAACCUUGGACCUGGCUGAUCUGUCCUCCUAAUCGAGCGCACGGAUUCGGUCGGGUCUUUCCUUCUGGGGAGCCCUAUGCCCUUCACUGGGUGUAGUGGGGAACCAGGACUUUUACCUUGAAAAAAUUAGAGUGUUCAAAGCAGGCCUUUGCUCGAAUACAUUAGCAUGGAAUAAUAGAAUAGGACAUCGGUUCUAUUUUGUUGGUUUCUAGGACCGCUGUAAUGAUUAAUAGGGAUAGUCGGGGGCGUCAGUAUUCAAUUGUCAGAGGUGAAAUUCUUGGAUUUAUUGAAGACUAACUACUGCGAAAGCAUUCGCCAAGGAUGUUUUCAUUAAUCAGUGAACGAAAGUUAGGGGAUCGAAGACGAUCAGAUACCGUCGUAGUCUUAACCAUAAACUAUGCCGACUAGGGAUCGGACGGUGGUUUUUUUAUGCCCCGUUCGGCGCCUUACGGGAAAC
rnacentral:rRNA from 1 species